GUGGUUAAGAAUGUCCGAGUGGUUAAGGAGUUUGACUCGAAAUCAAAUGGGCUCUGUCCGCGUAGGUUCGAAUCCUGCUGACUGCG
ensembl:tRNA